AUCCAGCUGACGAGUUCCAAAUUUGAUGAAACGCGCGUUCUGGAU
rfam:Schistosoma haematobium scaffold1536_1, whole genome shotgun sequence.